ACUCCAGUCCUGUCAGUUGAGUUCUGCUUUAGCCGCUUUUCGGGGAAACAGCGUUCAACUGACACCGUUAAAAAACAAGCCGAAUUAAGUAGUAUCACUUCUUAUUUUGAUUUAACACGUUAAUGUUCAAAUAACUUUCUCUGGAUUCUUUUGAGACUGAUGGAAACUUCUAAAUAUGGGGAUUCCCAAGCGAAUUCCGGAUUCGGAGGGGGCGUCUUGUUUCGCUGCGGGUUUCCAAGCGGAUUCCUGGACGUUUAUUCACCGCGGACACCGGAUAUGAUGACAUCCACGGAAAGAGUUUGAAACGGCUCCGGGUGAAGACGUCCUCACGUUGAAGGACAACAGGGCGAGCGGGGGUUAUGCUGGCGUUGACGAAGACGAGCUUCCAACCCACAGGAGUCCAGCUUCCUCUCAUGAGUGUGAAGACAAACACAACAUCUACACUUCAUGAGUCCACGGGACAGACGUCCACUCUGAAGGACACGUGACUGCAGAGGUCGAGGGUAUUUAUCUCCAGACUGUGACAUCAUCAGGAGCCGGACGAUAUGCAAAACCAGGCCUGAACCAGGAAGUGACGACGCUGUUGAAAACUUUAUCGACACGAACAGGCACGAACUCUCUCUCCUGAACUCGACCUUCAUGAUAUUACAUCUGCAUCUCGGUCAGUAACUUACAAUGACUCAGCAGAAAUUUUAAAAGAUUUGUUGGUUUUAAUUAUCAGUCUACAGUAGAAAUACAACUUUUAUAAAGUGAGGGUUCUAUUUGUUGUCAUGUUAAGAUGUUGUGUUGCUUUCACUCUAAAAUGUCCUGAGCUUCAGCUUCUCCUUAUUUCAU